rnacentral:lncRNA from 1 species
CCGUGGCCGCGGCCGCGGGGGAGGGGCCGGCGUCAGCGCGUCGCCGGCUGGGCCGCGCCGGUGGCCAGGAGGGAGAGACGAGGAGGAGGAGGAGGUGACACUGAUGAUAAAAAUCCAUUCAAGAAUUUAGAUGUGACAUCUGCAGCAGGUUCAAAUCUCUCAGCUAUAAGACAAACUGGAUACUUCAUAAGGAUUUUCGUCUAUUAUGCACAGAGGGCCAAAAUCCGUUACUGA